CCUACGGGUGGCAGCAGUAGGGAAUAUUGCUCAAUGGGGGAAACCCUGAAGCAGCAACGCCGCGUGGAGGAUGAAGGUUUUCGGAUCGUAAACUCCUUUUGUUAGAGAAGAUAAUGACGGUAUCUAACGAAUAAGCCCCGGCUAACUCCGUGCCAGCAGCCGCGGUAAUACGGAGGGUGCAAGCGUUAUUCGGAGUGACUGGGCGUAAAGAGCGCGUAGGCGGGAUAGCAAGUCAGAUGUGAAAUCCUAUGGCUUAACCAUAGAACUGCAUUUGAAACUGUGAUUCUAGAGUGUGGGAGAGGUAAGUGGAAUUCUUGGUGUAGGGGUAAAAUCCGUAGAGAUCAAGAGGAAUACUCGUUGCGAAGGCGACCUGCUAGAACAUAACUGACGCUGAUGCGCGAAAGCGUGGGGAGCAAACAGGAUUAGAUACCCUUGUAGUC
rnacentral:rRNA from 1 species